AAUCUCAGAGCUCGUUGCCUUCAAGCAUCCUACUUCCCGGACCACCACACGGGGGAAAACAUUGCAGCCGGCCUGAGAGAUGGGCUUGCUAGCUGGGAUCUACAGGAAGAAAACCACGUCAGCAUAACGAUGGACAACACAUCGAAUAUGGUGAUGGCAACAAAGCUAAAUGAGUAGACAAGACUCCAGUGUUUUGGGCACCGAUUACAUCUUGCCAUCGGACAUGCACUGAAAGAUGACAACGUCUCGAAGAGCUGUUCAUCACCCUAUUUAACUUCCCCUCAGUCCCUGCUUCCCUGCCAGAUGGUCAUCAGUAAUCCUUGUGUGAUAUCCUGCAUUCUUGUCUUGUCCCUGUUGCCGACCCUGCUACGAUUCCUUGACUCCCUGUUGCCUGAUUCCCUGUCGAACUUCACUGCUUGCUUUCUGUCUAUCUGGAUUUUGACCCUUUUUUUGGACUGACCACUGGUCUCUGCCAGAUCUGAUCAUUGUCUGCCUGAACCGUUUAACUUGGUGACUGGAUACCAAGCUGUCAAUUACUGGAUCCCUUUCCGAAUUCUAUUCCACAGCACUGCCUGGACCCUGUUGCCACUUCUGCCAUAAAGCUGCUUCCUCCCUGCCUCCACUCUUCCCGGUGCUGAAAUAAAGCUUUGUUUAAAACUUAUCAUCAUGUGUGGGCUGAAUUUCUGGGUCCUCCUGAGACAUCCAUUACACAUUUCCUGGAGCUUUAGAAAUAAGAGCUCAGGACUUUACAGAUGCUCUCUCUGGAGAGAAGUAUGUGAGCAUCUCCUACCGCAAACCAGUUCUUCACCUUGUCGUCACAUCAGUCCUGGCUGAAGAUCAAGAGGACACGGACCUGACUAGGUCAUUCAAAACCAAGGUCCUGGCAUACCUUAAUGACAAGUACAAUGACCCCAGGAGCAAGGAGCUUUUGGAUGUUGCAUCCUUCCUGGAUCCCGGGUUCAAAAUCCAGUUUAUCACCACAGACAACAAUCCUGCCAUUAAGACCCGACUCAAGACUGAAAUGCUGGAAUCAGCGAGGU